rnacentral:rRNA from 1 species
GAUGAACGCUAGCGGCAGGCCUAACACAUGCAAGUCGGACGGUAACAUAGAGUGCUUGCACUCUGAUGACGAGUGGCGCACGGGUGCGUAACGCGUAUAGAACCUACCCUGUACAGGGGGAUAGCCCAUGGAAACGUGGAUUAAUACCCCGUAGAUAUCGUAAGUGGCAUCACUUAUGGUUUAAAGUCUUCGGGCGGUACGGGAUGGCUAUGCGUCUUAUUAGUUAGUAGGUGAGGUAACGGCUCACCUAGGCAGCGAUAAGUAGGGGCCCUGAGAGGGGGAUCCCCCACACUGGUACUGAGACACGGACCAG